GAUGAACGCUGGCGGUGUGCCUAAUACAUGCAAGUCGAGCGAACAGACAAGGAGAUUGUUCCUCUGAGGUUAGCGGGGGACGGGCGAGUGACACGUGGAUAAGCUACUUAUUUGACUGGGAUAACUUCGGGGGGCAGGUGAUACUAAUACCUCAUACAUUCUACCGCUUGAUUCAAUGGUGCAUCGCGGCUUUCCCGUCUCAUUUAGCUGAUGCCGGGCCGCAUUGUCUAGUUGGUAAGGUAACGGCUAACCAAGGCAACGAUGCGUAGCCGACCUGAGAGGGUGAUCAGCCACACUGGAACUGAGACACGGUCCAGACUCCUACGGGAGGCAGCAGUGGGGAAUCUUCCGCAAUGGGCGCAAGCUUGACGGAGCAACGCCGCGUGGGUGAUGAAGGUCUUCGGGUCGUAAAACUCUUUUGUUAGGAAAGAACAAAUGUGUAAGUAUCUAUGCACGUCUUGACGGUACCUAAUCAGAAAGCCACGGCUAACUUCGUG
rnacentral:rRNA from 1 species